UCUGCCCCUCCUGCGCGCGCAGUGCAUUCACAGUUCAUGAGUCCGAGACGUUAACGCGACUCGACAGGAAAACCUUUACGGAGACAAACGGGAGUAUAGUAUCAGGGAAAGCUGACCGAGCUGUGAACCUCAGAACCAACACGGAGCAAAUUAGCAUCAACCAAAAUAGCAGCGAGCUUCCAGACCGUUUGUGUGUGAUGCAGAAAGUGUUUCUCAGCUCAAGGAGAGUGCGUAUGCACACAUCAGGGACAUGGAGAGAGUUCUAAAAUGGGUCCCAAUCAUUGAAGAGAUUCGGAGAGAAGAGAGCUGAAGCAUGAAGCUUCAGGAUACAUGGAAAUGAAAACUAACUAUACUAGAGGGAUGUGCUCUUAAAGUUAUUAUGACUCCAACACAGUAAACCAACUAUUUGAAACUGCUAUUAUACUGUUAUUCAACAAUAUAUUGAAUAACAAGCUUUUGUAUCCACUCUUGUUUUCCGUAAGUUGUAGAGCCUUUUUUUCAAUUCAAAAUUCAAGGUCACCUUUGCUUGAGAGAGAGAGAGAGAGAGAACCUCCCUGAAGGCCCUGUCACCUUGCUGGCUUACACCAGCUACACUCAGAACAUGACUUUAAGCCAGAGUAACCCUGCAGCUCUAGACAGGUACACAUACACAUCUACACGUGAUAACAGUGUGAAUACAGGGUCCAUGGAUGCAGAAGCAAAGCUCUACACAGUGAAAGAUGCAUCUCAGAAAACUCGAGGCUGUGUGGAAGGGGAGCUGCCAUCAUCUCGUUGUCAUCUUGCCAUUACAUGCAAUUACAUGCAUAAUUUACUUAGAAUAAAACAAAUCGGGAAUAUAAUACUUAUCACUCUCUUUUCGUGUCUGCACACCAUUUCAGGAUCUGCAUAGAUUAAUUAUUGAAUGGCAGAAACCAAUUCAAUAUCAAAUAAACAAUUUGAGUUGCUGUAAAUAAAUACUUCA